rnacentral:rRNA from 1 species
UACAGAGACUGCAAGCGUUAUUCGGAUUCACUGGGCGUAAAGGGUGCGCAGGCGGCCGUGUGUGUGAGGCGUGAAAGCCCGGAGCUCAACUCCGGAAUUGCACCUCAAACUACACGGCUAGAGCAUUGGAGAGGGUAGCGGAAUUCACGGUGUAGCAGUGAAAUGCGUAGAUAUCGUGAGGAACACCAGAGGCGAAGGCGGCUACCUGGACAAUUGCUGACGCUCAUGCACGAAAGCGUGGGGAGCAAACAGG